rnacentral:misc_RNA from 1 species
UUCCUAAACAAAUAUAUGCGGUUGUGCUCAUCUUAUUGUAUUUUCAUAAUCUUCAUAAGUGUCUGAUAAGUGAUAAUUCAAAGUUUUACUGGAUGCAUCAUAAUCAUUUACAUUGGUUAUGAAUAUUUCAUUUUUACAUAAUCAUGAGCUAAAUAUCUUGUGUAAUCGUUUAUCUAAUAAUAGUCGUAGAAAUAAAUUUUAUCAUUACUGUUUUACGACACAUGGUGGCAUCCAAUAUGAUUUUUACAAACACUGUAAGUAUAUUCCUGGUCGUGUAAGGAAAUUCAUUUCGAUGUUCCUUGAAGAGUGAAAUAAAAACAUUAUUUUGAAAACUGUGGAGAAUACAUAUAAUUAUUAAUAAUUAAUUAGUCAAUAUAAUUGGUGCAAACAUUGAAUAAAUAACUUGGAGUAUUAUUGUGAAACAACCACAAAAUGGUAUUUGUAAGCAAUCGUAGUACCCUGGUAGACUUACUUAUUAUUCUCUUUGGAAUAAGUUCAUGGAUAUCCAUAAAUGGACUAUGGGUGGAACUUCCCUUAAUGGUCGAUGUCUUACCAGAAAAUUGGAAUUUACCCUCUUAUCUCGUAGCUAUUGUUCAACUUGCCAAUGUAGGUCCAAUACUCUACUCUAUUCUUCGGUGGAAGAUGAAUGUCAAUAACUCCUAUAGUAUUUACUUUGUUUUAACUAUUGGAGUACUUGCCUCAUUUAUCAUGAUUUAUAUUUGGGACAAAACGGUAAAUAUUCUAGGAGUCGCUCAUAGUUUAGGACUUUUUAUCCCUAUAUUUUUGUUAUCCUUGGUAGACUGCACAUCUUCCGUUUUAUAUUUUCCAUAUAUCGGUACUUUUAAAUCAAUUUACCUAAACUCUUAUCUUAUGGGAGAAGGAUUGAGCGGAUUCAUUCCAAGUAUUGUUGCUUUGUUCCAAGGAAUUGGACAAACAAAAUGUGAAAAAUUAUAUAAUGAGACCACACAAGAAUGGGUGACGAGUAUAGUGACUGAGCCUCCAAACUUUUCAGUCGAAAUAUUUUUCUACUUUUUAUUUGGAAUGAUGUUAAUAAGCCUUGCUUCUUUUAUGAUGUUGGACUUGUCACCAUUUGCUCGAAGUGAAAAAAUAUCAGAAUCUGAAUUGAGAGGAGUUACAACAAUAUGGAAAUUUGUUUCUUACUCGGAAUUCAAGCAUUUAUCAAUUUCUUUUCAAAUGGUGUACUGCCUUCAAUUCAAUCAUACUCGUGCUUGCCUUAUGUUGCAUUUUUAGGGCAUUUUUUUUCUUAUAAAAGCCUUAAAAUCAUUGUUGGAUGUGUGAUUUUUGGCACAAUAAUGAUGGGAUUCAUUUUUGCAACUGCAAUAUACAGUCCUUUCACCAUAUUUGAUCCAUCUAUUUCAGGACCAUUAGUUGUGAUGCUUUGGAUAUUGAAUGGUAUAUUUUUUCAUUUCUCUAAGAUUGAAAUCGCUGGCAUAUGUAGAGAUGUCAAAAAUUCUAAAUAUUUAUUUUGGUAUGGUGCUUUGACACAAUUUGGCUCUGCACUGGGUGCCUUAAUUUCUUUCUUAAUGGUCAAUGUAUUUCAAGUUUUUACAACUGCAGAGUCUCCAGUUUGUUGAAUAGUUAUAAUACAUUUUGACUCGAAUUAAAUUUUUACCUCGAACAUAAGAUUUAUUUUUAUUCUACAUGGUAUUAAAAUAAUUUAUAUGUCUGUCUGAUCAUGGAUUACUUAACAUCUGGAUAAAUUAUUCGCUUUUAAAAUGACGCAACCUCUCUAUUAGAAGUAUUUCUGUUUUCAUUCAAUAAGUUAUAUAAAUAUAUUCUUUUAUCGUCAAUUAGUUAUAAAUAAAUAUUAUUUUGAA